GGAAUAUUGCACAAUGGGGGAAACCCUGAUGCAGCGACGCCGCGUGAGUGAAGAAGUAUUUCGGGAUGUAAAGCUCUAUCAGCAGGGAAGAAAAUGACGGUACCUGACCAAGAAGCCCCGGCUAACUACGUGACAGCAGCCGCGGUAAUACGUAGGGGGCAAGCGUUAUCCGGAUUUACUGGGUGUAAAGGGAGCGUAGACGGUUGUGCAAGUCAGAAGUGAAAGCCCGGGGCUCAACUCCGGGACUGCUUUUGAAACUGUGAAACUGGAGUGCAGGAGAGGUAAGCGGAAUUCCUGGUGUAGCGGUGAAAUGCGUAGAUAUCAGGAGGAACACCAGUGGCGAAGGCGGCUUACUGGACUGUAACUGACGUUGAGGCUCGAAAGCGUGGGGAGCAAAC
rnacentral:rRNA from 1 species